CUGAGAACGAUGAUUGAGAUAAGUAAUUCGCCGACGCUAUGGACAGAGAGCCGGGGUAGGUGCAAGCCGGUAUAGCGAAAACGAAUGAAGAUGACUCAGGAGUGGCUCUUCUGAAGGAUCGAGUAGGAAGAGACGGUGACCCACGUUAUCGGGUAUGCAGAGGGCAUGAUCGAUUAUGAUGAUGCUAAAUUUGGGUGGUAACGCGAACGCAAAGUCUCGCCCCAAAA
rnacentral:ncRNA from 1 species